CCCUUUCCUCCGUGUAAAAGUGUUCUUCCCUUGCUGGGCAGGGGCUUGCAAGCGGCUCGUCGUGGCUGUAGGCGCUGUGUUGCAAUUGUCUGCCGAGACCGAAUAAACCCAUCUUUGCUGGAGAACUAUCUGGGAGUCUAUUUGUUUCAGGUCAACAAGAGGUGAAGGAGCAGCACUUCAUAAGAACAGAAAUAGCAGGCUGCAGGUGACAAGCCCUCACUCAGGCUCAGGUGCUGGGCAGGACCCUGAGGCUCAGAGAAGUUAACUUGUUCAAGGGGACACAGGUAUGAAGUAGCAAAGCCUGAAUCUACACCCAACUCAACUCCAAAGCCUGCAUUCCUAACCACUGCAUCCUUUUGGAAAAUGUCAAGUUCAUACUCCAGGUAUAUACCCUGUGACUGUAUGUACACGAAAGGCAGCACGAUGGAUUGUUUUCAGACAAGAUGUUUUCUACUAAACUCUCAGAGGAAAAAAAAAACAAAAACAAAAAAACCCUUCAACUGUAGUUGCUUGAGGUCCUAGGAAACAGCGUCCUCUAGAGAGCAGCGUCUAUACAAUCACUUUGACAAGAAUAACAACAAAAUCUCCAGACAGGUUUCCCAGUCUGCAAACUAGCAAUGACUAGGGCACUAAAUGCCUAGGCCCUACUCCAGACAAAUUCACCCCCAAUCUCCUCAAGUAGGACCGAGGCAUCUGUAGUUGUUAAAGGUACUGGGUGGGUUAAGAACCACCCCUCUGGGACUUGAACCACAGCUGGUACAGAGCCAAAUUUUCUUCACUGGCUGAGUGCCCAGGGUCCAAAGUCAUCUCAAAAAUGCAGGUGGUACCCAUGUAAACUUUAAUGUAUGUUCUUUAUCUAGAGGUAGAGAAUCCCAAGGCAAUAACUAGAAAUGUUAUCAGAGCUCUGUAAAACCCCAGUGCUUCCUUGGUGUCUACUGGGGAAGGCACCAGCCAUGGUCUUCAGCCAACCAGACUGCCCACUGGGUCAGGGCAGCCAUUCCCACCUGGAUGCUGACCCGGCCCUAACUUGAUUUUGGUUCCUCAGGUGACCCAGGAGGCUGGCUGUGCCCCCUUUUUUCCCCCACACACAACCUCCAGCCUCCAUUUUCUACUAAAAUUCUAUUGAAAUCCUUUCUACCAAGUAAAGACUUACCUAGGGAGCAUACUGGAUGUUUGGUAUUAUAAGAAACCUCCUUGUAAGCAACUCUAAAGAGGAUUAUUUUUUUAAGACAGUAGAACAAGAAGAGAAAACUCACCUUGCCAGUAGUCAAGAUUGUGACAUUAUUUGAACAAACAAAUCCUUGCUUAAGGAGUUUCCCUGUCUAGCCAUCUCUAAAUCUUAAACAUGAUUUCUGUGGCUCUACAUCUCCUGCCAGGAUGUUUUCGCCAAGGAUUCUUCUGCAAGGGCGUUUUGUUUUCAGUGCCAGCCAGCAGUUCAGCUGAAACAUAAACGAUCUCAAAAACAAAGCCUCUUUCCUUUCCUUUUAGGUGUUCCAAAAAUUAAAGAACUUUGUAUUUCAGGAUCUUAAUUCCUGAGGCAGCAGGAGAUAGAAUUAUCGCCACUGUAAAAGAAAAUUUAGGGAGGGCAGUAGGAGAACAGAAGUGACAGAUCUCAUGGGGACUCAGUGAAAUGACGGAGGUGGAAAAGCUUAUAACCACGUGGUGCCACUCAGUUUAUACAAAUUGGCAGAAAAUCAGUUGUUUUCCCAAUUUCUCCAUUGUUUCCAAAACCGCCUUGCUGGCCACCUUACCAGAGUGGUUUUGCUAGUUAAGCUUCUGAUACUGAAACCAUGACAUUGAACAGAUAAUAAAACG